rnacentral:rRNA from 1 species
UACGUAGGGUGCAGGCGUUAAUCGGAAUUACUGGGCGUAAAGCGUACGCAGGCGGUUUGCUAAGACAGGUGUGAAAUCCCCGGGCUUAACCUGGGAACUGCGCUUGUAACUGGCAAGCUAGAGUGUGGCAGAGGGGGGUGGAAUUCCAGGUGUAGCAGUGAAAUGCGUAGAGAUCUGGAGGAACACCGAUGGCGAAGGCAGCCCCCUGGGCUAACACUGACGCUCAUGCACGAAAGCGUGGGGAGCAAACAGG